AACGAACGCUGGCGGCAGGCCUAACACAUGCAAGUCGAACGCUGUAGCAAUACAGAGUGGCAGACGGGUGAGUAACGCGUGGGAACGUGCCUUUCGGUUCGGAAUAACUCAGGGAAACUUGAGCUAAUACCGGAUACGCCCUUAGGGGGAAAGAUUUAUUGCCGAAAGAUCGGCCCGCGUCCGAUUAGCUAGUUGGUGUGGUAAUGGCGCACCAAGGCGACGAUCGGUAGCUGGGCUGAGAGGAUGAUCAGCCACACUGGGACUGAGACACGGCCCAGACUCCUACGGGAGGCAGCAGUGGGGAAUAUUGGACAAUGGGCGCAAGCCUGAUCCAGCCAUGCCGCGUGAGUGAUGAAGGCCCUAGGGUUGUAAAGCUCUUUCGCCAGGGACGAUAAUGACGGUACCUGGAUAAGAAGCCCCGGCUAACUACGUGCCAGCCGCCGCUGUAACAC
rnacentral:rRNA from 1 species